ACGGAAGGCAGCAGUGAGGAAUAUUGGUCAAUGGGCGAGAGCCUGAACCAGCCAAGUAGCGUGAAGGAUGACGGCCCUACGGGUUGUAAACUUCUUUUGCCGGGGGAUAAAAAACGGGACGCGUCCCGUCUUGCAGGUACCCGUGCGAAUAAGGACCGGCUAAUUCCGUGCCAGCAGCCGCGGUAAUACGGAAGGUCCGAGCGUUAUCCGGAUUUAUUGGGUUUAAAGGGAGCGCAGGCGGCCUGUUAAGCGUGUGGUGAAAUGUAGUCGCUCAACGUCUGCACUGCCACGCGAACUGGCGGGCUUGGGUGCGGUGAACGCUGGCGGAAUUCGUGGUGUAGCGGUGAAAUGCUUAGAUAUCACGAAGAACUCCGAUUGCGAAGGCAGCUGGCGGUACCGUUACCGACGCUCAUGCUCGAAAGUGUGGGUAUCGAACAGGAUUAGAUACCCUGGUA
rnacentral:rRNA from 1 species